CUUCCCAGUAGGUGCAGAGUGUCAGCUAUCAAAAUAAGCACUGCAGAGCUGUUCCUUAUGCCAGGCUGCCCUGUGAGAGGAUCCAAGAUGAAAAGAGGGCCCAAGUCUCUAGACUGAAGUAAAACUCAAGACCUAAGAAGGACAAAAGGCAGAAAGCCCAAAUAGAUGGGAAGCUCAUAAUGGAUAGAAGGCCCAAAACAGAAGACAGAUAGAUGGUUUGAGACUUGAGACCUGAGGACUAAAAUAGAAAGCACAUGUCCCAAGAAAAAUGAAGCCUUAGCCCUGAGACCAGCAGAAGCCCAGAGAGCCAAGAUGUACAGAAGAUGUCCGGAGUUGGAUGUAAGGCUAAAGUCCUGAGUUAGAAGGCCCAAGAGCCAGGAUGCAUGGAAGAUUCAAGAGCCAGGACACAUGGAAGGUCCAAGAACUGAGAACUAAGAUACACAGGACCUUGGAUAAAAGGCCCAAGACACACGUUAAGACCCAGGACCUAUGACCCUAGAUGGACAGAAGGCCCAAGGAAAACAGCUCGAGAUCAAAGGCAGGAAGCUGGAGGCCCAGGACCCAGAGCUCAGGAAGUAUAGAAGCCCCAAGACCAGAGGAAAUCCCAAGAUGAGAACCCUAAACUUCAGCUUUUCUCAGCUCUUUCUAUUGCUGUAUCCCCUACUUUUGGACAUUUGCAAUUUUCCCCUUCCAGGUCUCCUAUCUCCAUUUAAGUAGUUUUUUUUUGUUUUGUUUUUUUUUUUUUUUUGAAAUGUCCUUUUGUGAUGUUGUGAUUACUUUAAAGGAACAUAUCUUUACUUGAGGACAACAUCAAAGACUGGUAAUAUUAUCCCUGGGACAAUCUUUUGAACCAUUUCUUAUAUCCUAGUUUUAAACCACUCCCUAGAUUUUUCUAAAGUGUUUUUUUUUUUUUUAAACUUACAUUUCUCGUCACCUCUCCAUUUGACCAACAUACUGAUAUUUAGUCAAUCAAUUCAAUCUAGUCUGGAUUGUGUCAUUCCUCUCAGGAGCAAGCAUCUAUAUAGGUGACAUUGUAUUUAAGUCCUCCCUUCUCCUCAGAAGCCCUAGGCUGAUGGGAAGAGAAAACCAUAAGCUGUUGGGGAGAAAAAUGCCAGGCUUUCUAGAGAAAAUGUGAAGAGAUGCUCCAGGCCACUGAGAAGAAUUUAAACAAGAAAUACCCAGAUGUGCCAGCCUACUAAGAAGCACCAGCCAACAACACCUUACUUCUUAGAGCCUGGGUGAGCAGGAUUCCUGAGAUUAUGGAUUUCUAGUAAUGGUUACAGAAAGGGUGAUUGGCCCUAGGACAAAGGCCCCAGGGAGACAGCUUGAACUCCCUGCUCAUAGUAGUGGCCAAAUAGUUUGGUGGACUGUACCAACCUGGGUUUAAUACCCACCUCUAGGCUUAAAGGUGAGAGAAAUUGGGAGUAUUUAGCAGGUUUAAUCCUUUUCUUUUCUCUUUUUUUCCCUUCUAUGUGGAAAGAUGGUUUAAAUGAUUGAUAAUGUAUAUGAAAACACUUUUCAGACUAAAACAUAGGAGGAAAGCAAGGCAUUCUCAUUAAUAGUGUAUUGGCAGCCAGGCACAGGUAACUAUUUGAAAGUGCACUGUGAGCUGUGAUGUUUUAUAUAAAUCAGGGGUCAGCACCCUUUUUCUGUAAAGAGUCAGUUAUAAAUACUUAGGCAUUGGAGGUCGCAUGGUCUCUGUUGUAUAUUCAUUUUUUACAAUUCUUUAAAAAUGUUAAAUCCAUUCUUAGCUUGUGAACCAAGUGGAUUUGGCCUGCUGUCCCAUAGUUGACCAACCCCUGAUGUACAUGCCAAGGACUAUGCACUGAAUAAUAUUAAUUUCCUUCUCUGUGCCUGUUCUUGUGCUAGGGCACUGGGGAUGCAGAAUUAUUUAUGAUCACUUUCAGAUGACCUGAGAAAAAAUAUAUAUGAACAUGCUUUGUAAACUAUAAAGCACUUAAAAAAGAAUGAGUUUCAAUGUUUGAUGAAUGCAUAUUGAUUACUUAUUAAUUCUCUUGUGCGAGACACUGCGGAUACAAAGAUUAAAAGAAGCAUGAAUAAAAAAGUACUCUGCUAAAAGUAUGUAGUACUAUGCAGAUUUAAGGAAUUAUGUGUUGGGUAAAUGAAUAAUUUAUAUAUAUCGGUGUCCAACAUGUUUCUGCUCCUAUGAUGAUUUUCAGUAAAAAGAUUUAAAGUAUUACAGAUAGCAGAAAAGAAAAACAAAAAACAUGGAAAUUGCUUUUAAAGUAUAAAAUACACUACAAAUAUAAGGGACUAAGCUAUUGCAAUAAUCUAUGAGGUGCCAGAUGCCAUGCUAGAUGCUAGUUAUACGAAAGAGACAAAAAAAGUAUUAUUGUCAUUAUAGAAUUAAAAAUUUCAGGAAGGAAAUAUAUAUUAAAGUGCUUUGUAAACUAAAGCACUAUACAAAUACUAAUGGACUACAUGUUUAUGAAUAAAUAUUCAUCACCUCUUAUGUGCCAACCAUUGUUUUGGUACUAUGGAUUCCAUGAUUACUAAUUAUCCCAAGUAAUCAGAGGAAAUUAUAAUCCAAAGAUCAGGUAGUGUAAGUUUGACAAAUGAAUAUUAAUAUUACAUACCAGGCACUGGAUCUAAAAUGAAUUCUCAUUGUAUGCUUGAUCCACAAUGAGAAAGGUAAUGUAAAAAACAAAAAAAAUUAAAAAGAACAAAACCCAUUGCUGUCGAGUCGAUUCUGACUCAUUGCGACCCUAUAGGACAGAGUAGAACUGCCCCACAGUAUUUCCAAGGAGCAGCUGGUAGAUUCAGACUGCCGACCUUUUGGCUGACAGCCAAGCUCUUAACCACUGCCCACUCAUUUCUUGUGCCAACAGCUGAGAAUAAGGAAAUGUUAGCGUUUUAUAAACUAUAAAGCACCAUAUAAAUGUAAUUAUUGAUUUUAUUUGGUGCCAAAUAGUAGGUUUAUAAAACUGUAUCACAGUUACCAGUAUACUCUGGGGGAAAAAAGUAGGAAAAAAAAGGUUUGAGUAAGGAUUGUUAACUAAACACUGAAUAUAAUAUGUAAGAUUAAAUUUCUGAUGAAUCUAAGGAUGGAUAGUGAUUGUCUUAUUAUGUAUCAGCCUCCUUGCUAGGCAUUGUACCCUGGGUAGCAGUAGGUCAUACGUGUAAAAUCAGUUUAUAAGUUGUAAACUGCUACACAUAAAUAAGUGAUAUCUGCUAAAUAAAUGUUAAUAUUUACUAUCACUUAUCCCCAGAGAUAGCAAAUGAGGCACAGAAAUGAUCAUCACUGAGCCUACAACAAAGAUCUGUGUGUAAAUAUACAAAGCCUACUGUUCUAUACAGACAUGAAGGAAUUAACUGUUGUCUUUAUGACUGAAUAUUGAUUACUUGCUUUGAGGCUCAGAACUGUGCAUAUCAUCAGAUAAAAAAACUAUUUUAUUAUUAUGGGGUGCUCACAGGAGGAAGUGAGUUAAUAGGUGUGAGAUCCAGCCUAAAGUCACUUAACCACUACUAAACUUAUUCAAUAAUGAGAACAUAGGGGGAAAAUGGAUUUGGAUUUCUUUGUAUCAAUUAACAAUGUACAGCGCAGUGUACUAAAUACUGAGCUACAUAAAGAGAUAAAAUCUGGCCUAGAAGGCUACUUGCUCCUUGGCCUAAUUUAAGAGAGGAAAAUUUUAAAAUAGAAAGGGGUUGUAGUUUUCUAGUUUACUAAAUGGAAGAUCGAGGUGAUUCACCUUGGCUUGGCUUAGACACAGUAAAGGAGUAAAAAGAAAGGGCUCAGCUUUGCUUUUUGAUUCAUUCGACAGAGCAUUUUUUUAUGUGGAAUAUACCACUCUAGGUCCUUAGGAUGGGCCUAGUAUAAAAGUCGAUCUAAUCUAAAAGGUUAUCUAAUGAUUACUGAUCACAGCUGAAGAUAGGAAAACAUCUUUUGUUUAUUCAAUAAAUAUUUCAGUGCCCUUUGCCUGCCAGGUACCCUGCUAGAUGAAGUAGUUAAGUAGGUCUGGACUAGAAGACUCGUUGACUUGCCUUGGAGAUUUUUUUUUUUUAAAAAAAAGGCAAGGUUCUUUUAAUACAAAGUGAAAAUAUUUUUGCUGGUUCCACGAAGCCCCAAAUUAUUUGCUCAUUGACCUGGUUUAAAGCCAGAAGAAUAGUAAAAGGGCUAAGGGUUUGUUCUUUCAUUCAUUAACUUAAAAAUGGUUUAUGAUGAGAAUCAAGAUGAAACAACUAGCUUUCAAGGUCCUUGGCCUGGCUUAAGAGUCAGGAAGACACUUGAGCAAUAAUAAUAAAAAAAAAAAAGAGACCCAUUGCCUUCGAGUCAAUUCCGACUCAUAGUGACUCUAUAGGACAGAGUAGAACUGCCCCAUAGAGUUUCCAAGGAGUGCCUGGUGGAUUCGAACUGCUGACCUUUUGGUUAGCAGCCGUAGCUUUUAACCACUACACCACCAGGGUUUCCUGAGCAAUAAAGGGGAUUCUUUUUUACAUUUAUCAUAAUUAGUAAAAAUGUAUUGAUUAAAUCUGAAUAAGGUACUAUUACUAAGUGUUGAGAAUGAAAAGAUUUAAGAGACCUAGACCCAAAUGCACUGCCUCUCACACAAGCUUAUGGUGGAAACACAAGAACUAAUUUAAUAAGAGACUGGUUCUUUAGUUGAAAAAAAUGUAUCGAGCAGCUGUGAUAUGUAAGACACUGAGAAGGUGUGAUUAAAUAGAUCACCUCUUUGGCAUGCUUUUUAGAGGGGAACAGUAGAGGCUUUUAUUUUUUUAAUUUAUACAAACAAUGAAGAUGAUGCCAAAUGAAAUAGAUCUGGUCCAAAAGGCACUUAGUCUGACUUAGAGAUGAAAUUAAAAAUAAGAAAUGGAGUGAUAUUCUUUUUGCCAAACAGAAAUGCCUGUUAUGUCAAGGCGUUAUGUUAAAUCCUAGACAGAAAAUAAAUGAAAGAGAUCAUUUAUUUAUUCAUUAUGCAAGUAUUUUUGAGUGUCUAUUGUGCGUAACACCUUUUACUAGAUUAUCAGUUGACCCCAAAGAUGAAAACAUGUAUACUUUCCCAGAGCUCUUGUAAAACUUUCCUUAUGGCCUGUUUUCUUGUUAAGGACAUAGUUUAGUCCCUCAUUAACAUUGCAUGGUUUCAUUCCUACUCCAUAUCUCUUCUACCACUCUGGCCACUACAAUAAGCAGGUAGCUGGGUUAUAUACUGAGCUUGCUCCUUAAGUUACAAGAACCCUCCUUAUAAUAGACACUUCAUUUUUUCUGGCCCAUCCCUCAUAAAAAAAUGGCUGCAACCACUGUUGGGCAGAAGGAGGGAUAAUGACCAACAAAUUCCCAAACCAGACUCAGGGAACCAAUACCCCAUACUCAAGCCACAACUGAUUUUGAAAAACAUUUACCAGUUUUGUCUAUUUUCAAAAAAAGUAUCUGCCAAAAUAGAUCCGUUUCAGGAGCAAUCCUCAGCAUAAGAUUGGAGAUGGAGACAUGAUUUCUCUUUUGCAAUAGCUUCUCAACUUACACCUUAGAAAUGUCGCCCUUCUUUUCCAAACCUGCUGAAGAAAGGAUUUGUUAUAGUAGCAUAGUGUCAGUGGAUGAAAACAGCUUAAAAAUGUUACCCUGCUUACGUUUUAAGUUAUGAAUAAUAAAAAUUUGAAAUAAUUGGCAAAAAUUGGAGCAAAAAAAUGACUAAAAAAUAUCCUUUAAAACUAGGCCCAAGAGGGCUUUGACCUUUUCUGUUUUUAAAUCACUCAAAGAGGGUGGGCUAGGAGGAAGAGUGAAAGAAAAGGUCAAAACCUGUUGUCUAAGGGCAGCCAGCCUUGGUUCUGGGUUGGUCUUACCAGCAUUACCAGCUCCAAGUCUAACUUGAGGUUGUUUUUUUAGUUUAAAGAAAUCCCAAUAACUCUGGUCAUUGCUGAGAUGAAGGAAAAAUCCUUGAUCCUCAUUUGUUUAUAAGUUUUUGAGAAAUAAUUAGUUUUGCCUGAAAGGUUAUCAAUUAAACCUGAUUUAUCUAGGAGUAGAAUUUAUUAAUCGAAUCAAUGUGACUGUUCAUCGUAAGGUGGCCUUAAGACUGAAGUUAAAAUUUGCUGCAAAGGAUGAGGACUUUAUUUUUCAUUGUAAUGCAUACAUAAUUUCAAAUCAUCUAAACUGUAUUUUACAUAACAAGCCAACAAUAACAUCCAUAAAUGGAGGAGGAACUAGAUUAAUGGCAAUGGACAAUUGAUGGAGGAAGCAAGGUCGAAGAUGAUUUGGGGUUUCUGGCUUCAUAAGACUACCACUACUGGUUAAACAAGAAUAAGAGGACAUUAUCAUCUGCUUUUGUUGCAUAAAUGAAGUUGUGAACAAAUCCAUAUUUAAAGAAAAUGACUUCAUCUGUACUAUUCUACCUCAAAGGGAAGCUAUGCCAGAAUUAUAAGAUAAAUGGAAGACACUGUGACUAGUGAACUGAUGUGAAAUGCAGAAUCUCUGUUGACCCUUGAGUGUGUUGAAGAUUGAAGAAUCUUACUCAGCAUGAGUGACUACCAAAAAGCACUUUGAACUUAAAAUCAGUUUUUAUAGCUUUACUUUUCUAGUUAACUUAAAGACAAGUGUUCAUGUGUUCCAAACUCAACCUGAGACCUUGAACUUGGUUUGAAUAAGCUAUUUUACUCCCUUUGCCCAUGUUACCCCAACCUCAAGCAGUCAAAUAAUUUCAUCUUUAUCUAAAGCCAUAUACAUGUCACAACUGAGACAAAUUGGGGAGUUUGUUGUCUAAUGUAAAAUAAAAUGUACUGUUCUAAA